ACUGCCAUUGAUACUGAUAGCCUUGAGUUUGGUUAAGGUAGGCGGAAUGUGUAAUGUAGCGGUGAAAUGCUUAGAUAUUACACAGAACACCAAUUGCGUAGGCAGCUUACUGAGCCGACACUGACGCUGAGGCACGAAAGCGUGGGGAUCGAACAGGAUUAGAUACCCUGGUAGUCCACGCCGUAAACGAUGAUUACUCGCUGUUGGCGAUACACUGUCAGCGGCUAAGCAAAAGCAAUAAGUAAUCCACCUGGGGAGUACGGCCGCAAGGUUGAAACUCAAAGGAAAUUGACGGGGGCCCGCACAAGCGGAGGAACAUGUGGUUUAAUUCGAUGAUACGCGAGGAACCUUACCUGGGCUUAAAUGUAGAGUGCAUGAGGUAGAAAUACUUCUUCCCUUCGGGGCUCUUUGCAAGGUGCUGCAUGGUUGUCGUCAGCUCGUGCCGUGAGGUGUCGGGUUAAGUCCCCGCAACGAGCGCAACCCUUGCCGAUAGUUACUAACAGGUAAAGCCGAGGACUCUAUUGGGACUGCCGGGGACACUCGGAGGAAGGUGGGGACGACGUCAAAUCAUCAUGCCCCCUUAUGACUGGGCCUUCACACGUGCUUACAAUUGACGAAAACAAAGAGGGAGCCGUAUCUGCUAGAUGAACAGAAUCUCAAAACUCGGUUCUGAGUUCGACUUGGUGGGGCUGCAACCGC
rnacentral:rRNA from 1 species